ACCUUCUUCUUCAGUCUGGGAAACAUCUGUAGACUCGAGGAGGGAUCUGCACUUCCAGCAGAGGGACAGCUGCUCAUGGAUGCUUUCAUGGUGGGAAGGAGGUCUGGAAGGCACAAGGGAUCCCAGGAGCUUCUGGAUGGUUUUCGGCAUGCCCCACCUGUGCUCUGCAGUCCUCCUCUUCAGCCAAUCUUCACCUUCUUCUUCAGUCUGGGAAACAUCUGUAGACUCGAGGAGGGAUCUGCACUUCCAGCAGAGGGACAGCUGCUCAUGGAUGCUUUCAUGGUGGGAAGGAGGUCUGGAAGGCACAAGGGAUCCCAGGAGCUUCUGGAUGGUUUUCGGCAUGCCCCACCUGUGCUCUGCAGUCCUCCUCUUCAGCCAAUCUUCACCUUCUUCUUCAGUCUGGGAAACAUCUGUAGACUCGAGGAGGGAUCUGCACUUCCAGCAGAG